rnacentral:rRNA from 1 species
UACGUAGGUGGCAAGCGUUGUCCGGAAUUAUUGGGCGUAAAGCGCGCGCAGGCGGUCCUUUAAGUCUGAUGUGAAAUCCCGUGGCUUAACCACGGGCGGUCAUUGGAAACUGGGGACUUGAGUGCAGAAGAGAAGAGCGGAAUUCCACGUGUAGCGGUGAAAUGCGUAGAGAUGUGGAGGAACACCAGUGGCGAAGGCGGCUCUUUGGUCUGUAACUGACGCUGAGACGCGAAAGCGUGGGGAGCGAACAGG